rnacentral:rRNA from 1 species
CCUACGGGGGGCUGCAGUGGGGAAUAUUGGACAAUGGGGGGAACCCUGAUCCAGCCAUGCCGCGUGUGUGAAGAAGGCCCUCGGGUUGUAAAGCACUUUCAGUGAGGAAGAACGCCUGGUGGUUAAUACCCAGCAGGAAAGACAUCACUCACAGAAGAAGCACCGGCUAACUCCGUGCCAGCAGCCGCGGUAAUACGGAGGGUGCGAGCGUUAAUCGGAAUUACUGGGCGUAAAGCGCGCGUAGGUGGCUUGAUAAGCCGGUUGUGAAAGCCCCGGGCUCAACCUGGGAACGGCAUCCGGAACUGUCAAGCUAGAGUGCAGGAGAGGAAGGUAGAAUUCCCGGUGUAGCGGUGAAAUGCGUAGAGAUCGGGAGGAAUACCAGUGGCGAAGGCGGCCUUCUGGACUGACACUGACACUGAGGUGCGAAAGCGUGGGUAGCAAACAGGAUUAGAUACCCGAGUAGUC